CACGUAGGGCGCAAGCGUUUGUCCGGAAUUAUUGGGCGUAAAGAGCUCGUAGGCGGUCUGUUACGUCUGCUGUGAAAACCCAGGGCUUAACCCUGGGCUUGCAGUGGAUACGGGCAGACUAGAGGCAGGUAGGGGAGAAUGGAAUUCCCGGUGUAGCGGUGAAAUGCGCAGAUAUCGGGAGGAACACCGGUGGCGAAGGCGGUUCUCUGGGCCUGACCUGGACGCUGAGGAGCGAAAGCGUUGGG
rnacentral:rRNA from 1 species